CACAUGCAAGUCGAGGGGCAGCAUGGUCUUUUCUUGCUAAGGCCGAUGGCGACCGGCGCACGGGUGAGUAACACGUAUCCAACCUGCCGUCUACUCUUGGACAGCCUUCUGAAAGGAAGAUUAAUACAAGAUGGCAUCAUGAGUCCGCAUGUUCACAUGAUUAAAGGUAUUCCGGUAGACGAUGGGGAUGCGUUCCAUUAGAUAGUAGGCGGGGUAACGGCCCACCUAGUCUUCGAUGGAUAGGGGUUCUGAGAGGAAGGUCCCCCACAUUGGAACUGAGACACGGUCCAAACUCCUACGGGAGGCAGCAGUGAGGAAUAUUGGUCAAUGGGCGAGAGCCUGAACCAGCCAAGUAGCGUGAAGGAUGACUGCCCUAUGGGUUGUAAACUUCUUUUAUAAAGGAAUAAAGUCGGGUAUGGAUACCCGUUUGCAUGUACUUUAUGAAUAAGGAUCGGCUAACUCCGUGCCAGCAGCCGCGGUAAUACGGAGGAUCCGAGCGUUAUCCGGAUUUAUUGGGUUUAAAGGGAGCGUAGAUGGAUGUUUAAGUCAGUUGUGAAAGUUCGCGGCUCAACCGUAAAAUUGCAGUUGAUACUGGAUAUCUUGAGUGCAGUUGAGGCAGGCGGAAUUCGUGGUGUAGCGGUGAAAUGCUUAGAUAUCACGAAGAACUCCGAUUGCGAAGGCAGCCUGCUAAGCUGCAACUGACAUUGAGGCUCGAAAGUGUGGGUAUCAAACAGGAUUAGAUACCCUGGUAGUCCACACGGUAAACGAUGAAUACUCGCUGUUUGCGAUAUACAGCAAGCGGCCAAGCGAAAGCGUUAAGUAUUCCACCUGGGGAGUACGCCGGCAACGGUGAAACUCAAAGGAAUUGACGGGGGCCCGCACAAGCGGAGGAACAUGUGGUUUAAUUCGAUGAUACGCGAGGAACCUUACCCGGGCUUAAAUUGCAGAUGAAUUACGGUGAAAGCCGUAAGCCGCAAGGCAUCUGUGAAGGUGCUGCAUGGUUGUCGUCAGCUCGUGCCGUGAGGUGUCGGCUUAAGUGCCAUAACGAGCGCAACCCUUGUUGUCAGUUACUAACAGGUUCCGCUGAGGACUCUGACAAGACUGCCAUCGUAAGAUGUGAGGAAGGUGGGGAUGACGUCAAAUCAGCACGGCCCUUACGUCCGGGGCUACACACGUGUUACAAUGGGGGGUACAGAGGGCCGCUACCACGCGAGUGGAUGCCAAUCCCCAAAACCUCUCUCAGUUCGGACUGGAGUCUGCAACCCGACUCCACGAAGCUGGAUUCGCUAGUAAUCGCGCAUCAGCCACGGCGCGGUGAAUACGUUCCCGGGCCUUGUACACACCGCCCGUCAAGCCAUGGGAGCCGGGGGUACCUGAAGUGCGUAACCGCGAGGAGCGCCCUAGGGUAAAACUGGUGACUGGGGCUAA
rnacentral:rRNA from 1 species